rnacentral:rRNA from 1 species
CAGCCGCCACGGGAAUACGAAGGGCGCAAGCGUUAAUCGGAAUUACUGGGCGUAAAGCGUGCGUAGGCGGUUUGUUAAGUCUGCUGUGAAAUCCCCGGGCUCAACCUGGGAAUGGCAGUGGAUACUGGCAAGCUAGAGUGUGUCAGAGGAUGGUGGAAUUCCCGGUGUAGCGGUGAAAUGCGUAGAGAUCGGGAGGAACAUCAGUGGCGAAGGCGGCCAUCUGGGACAACACUGACGCUGAGGCACGAAAGCGUGGGGAGCAAACAGGAUUAGAUACCCCCGUAGUCCCUGUCUCUUAUAC